CCUACGGGAGGCAGCAGUAAGGAAUAUUGGACAAUGGGCGCAAGCCUGAUCCAGCCAUUCCGCGUGUAGGAUGACGGCCCUCUGGGUUGUAAACUACUUUUAUUUGGGAAGAAACCCUGGGAUUUAUCCUGGGCUGACGGUACCAAAAGAAUAAGCACCGGCUAAUUCCGUGCCAGCAGCCGCGGUAAUACGGAAGGUGCAAGCGUUAUCCGGAAUCACUGGGUUUAAAGGGUGCGUAGGCGGUUGCGUAAGUCAGAAGUGAAAGCUCACAGCUUAACUGUGGAAUUGCUUUUGAUACUGCGCGACUAGAAUCAGGUUGAGGUUGGCGGAAUGUGACAUGUAGCGGUGAAAUGCAUAGAUAUGUCAUAGAACACCAAUUGCGAAGGCAGCUGACUGGACCUGUAUUGACGCUGAGGCACGAAAGCGUGGGGAGCGAACAGGAUUAGAUACCCUGGUAGUCCACGCCCUAAACGAUGCUUACUCGAUGUGUGAAAUAUUGCGCAUCCAAGGGAAACCGUUAAGUAAGCCACCUGGGGAGUACGUUCGCAAGAAUGAAACUCAAAGGAAUUGACGG
rnacentral:rRNA from 1 species